GAGAGGUUGGGAGGGUCGUGGGGUGCUGGCUCCAGGGUGUGGCUGUGUCCCAAAGCCCAGCAGGCUCCGAGGGUUGCAAUUAGGCAAAGCUUCUGGUCUGCAGAAGGAGGAGGAGGAUUAUGGCAAAUUCAUUUCUGUUUUCCAGCCCAGUAAGCCUGCAGCAUGUCCCUGAUGUUAGCAUGAGAAUGAGCUAGGGCUCUGUGAGCCCCUCCCCACCGACCUGCUGACCCCUGUCCCCCCACGUGAAUAGCAGGACUCACGGCCUGGACAGCCUCUCGAACCAGUGCUUGCAAAGCCACGGCUCCUACUCAGGGUAAUUUAAUAUAUUUUAAGCCCCCGGCGGCUUUAUUUUCCCUCCUUUUUGAGUUUGUUUUAGGCAUUCAGAGCUCUCACCCCGUCAUUAGACAGCCUUAUUUGACGGAUGGAAGGAGCUGCUAUGAGACCACAGCCCUUUGUAUCCCCCACAUAAGCUGGGCUUCCCCGUAAUUAGAAUGGUAUUCCCAGCCAUUGAGGCCUUUCAUGAGGCGGAACAAAAACUCCCCGAGAUGAAUAUCCCCCAACUCUCAGCCCCCUGGAUGGAAAAGGGACUGUGAGUUAAAGGGACUCCUUGGGGAAGGUAGUCUGUGACCAGGGACAUCUGAGAUCCUGCCAGGAGCAGAAAUUUAGAGGCCACAGGGAGUGGGCUCCAGACAAAGGUUCGUCAGGGUUUUCCCCAGGUGCUUCGCCAGCCCCAGGACCUGCUUGGCUCAGCCUUUGUGGCAGAGGACCCGUAUAUACUCAUGGGGUUGUGGGUAUGGUAGUAAGCAAGAGUGCACAUGUAACUAUACAGCCACCUGGAUCUCACUUAGAAAUGACUGUACAUUUAAACACACAAAUACACAUAUCGAAAACAGUUACUUUCAUAAGGCUUAGGAUUAUAUUGUAAAUAACACGCAUAUGCAUGCAUAUAUGGACACAUGCAUGCUCAGAACAGGACCACAUUGUCACAAGCCAGGUUGGAAAAGAGUAGUAAAUGUACAUACAUGUCACGUGCACUGUCCUCCAGACAUAGAACCAAAUUGCGCUGUGUCUUGUCUGUGCGCGCGCACACACACACACACACACACACACACACACACACACACACACACACAUACUCACACAUGCACACCCAGAUCUUCUGUGGCAAUGGGGCAUUAACCAGUUCAUGUGCCCUGAGGUAAUUCCAUCCUUUCCUCCCAAGGAUACAGACUUACUUCUGGCCUCCUUCCUAAACCUAUGGUUAGCCUGUGUUUAAAUACAGAUUGACAUGCACAUCCGUGUGUGGAUUUGUGUACAUUGUCUGCUCAUACUGACACAGGAAAAUACUAUGGAAUGCUAUGGAACCAAAUGCUGUUACGUUUCUAGGGUAAGCCUCACGAUUGACAUUCAAGAAUACCUAAUGUAUAUAUAUUAGGUGGGUUGGGUUCUUCUCUGGACCUCAGAUCUCCCACGCCUUUGGGAAGAGGAAACCUCUUUUGGGGGGCGUUUCCACUGGGUUAGACUUUAAGAGCAAACAGCAGGCAUGAAGCUGUAUGGCCAGUCAGUAACUUUUCCACAGGAGAAGCUCAGAGGGUGCUCUUUAUUCUGACAAACCCAGGUUUCUAAGUGGCACCCAGGAGAAGCAGUUCCAGAGAGGAGCAAUAAAUGCCCCAUUUCUGUGAGGAUUUAAAAAAAGAAGAAGGAGUGAUCACAAGCCACAGAUGCUGUGGAGGGCAUGUAUCAGUGAAUUCAGCUUCUAAUCUGUGUCAGAUCCCACGCACAGGGCUUGGAAUACGGUGGGGACCCACGACGCAGCACUUUUAGUCCAAGUCAGAGCUAUAUGCAGGACCGUGGUGAGGGCAGCCUGCUGGAGUCCCCAAGACCAAAGAUGAGGCUGAUGACCCUGCUUUGGCAGAAAGCAUCGAAGAGAAGGAAGCUGAAAGACUGGGAAUCUGGAGGUCACUUCUGAGUAUGGAAUCUGGAAACCCUUCAGGUCUUAAAACCUUGCUCUCAGCACGUCGAUAGAGAAGGUUCCAGAGAAGAACCUAAGUGGGCUCUUCAGUUCCAGGGAGCCCCAGUGGCACCAUCCAAACUUGGAAAAGGAAUCAUGUUGAUCACCAGAGAUAGAAUCUCAUCAGAACUAGGCUGCGUGCAGGGGAGGCAAAGGGCAAAGGGGCUCCUGGAUGGCAUCCCACAGAGGCACAACUGUCCUGGAGGGAGGAUGUGGCCACAGGUGUGUGGGUCAACGAGACUACCCUGUUCUCUGGAAGACCUGCUGCACAGAGCUGCAGGGCAGAAAGCCCUGUGGUUAGAGCUGGCCAAGCACUCUGUCACUCAUCCCUUCCCGCAGCCCGUUGCAGAGUUGGCUUCGUUUUUAAUUCUCCAGCCUCGGGAGUGAAAGAUCUAGUUCAGAGGCCUUGACCUGUGCCCUCCCCGACCCCACCGCAUGCCGCAUGCCGGAUUCCCAAGGUGUGGAGCUUGUGUGGGUUCCCAGAGGCCUUCGGAGGCUGCGCGCAGUAGUUUUCUUCCCUUUCGAAGGCAGCAAACGGUUUUCAAAGAACCACAUCAUGGUGAAGACGGCCGGGAGGCUCUGGUGGCAAUGGAACUACCGCUCGGGUCUUUGCCCACCCCCCUGGCGUGCUUUACACUCCUUGUUUCAAGUGAGGAAACACGUCACAGAUGUGGAGUGAGCGACCCAAGGUCGCACAGCUGGAAAGUCACAACUCCAGCUCCAAAGAAACAUACACGGUGAGCCCACGGACUUCAUCUCCACCAGAGGCAUUGUGGUGCUGGUCCUGGAACCUGACUGCCUGGGUGUAAUCUCAACUCUGCCAGCUACUACUGACUUACUCUCUCUCCGUGCCUGUGUUUCCUUAUCAGGGAAAGGCGAUGGGUUGUAACAAUGUGUCCACCCUGGCUAGCAUCGCUGUGAAGACUGAAGGGGAUAAUGUGUAUGACCGAGUUGGCAUUGUGAAGCUAUUAUCACUACUGUUCCCACUGCUCCAGGUCUGAGCUCCCCCCCCCCCCCCCCCGGCCAUGGCGGGCAAGUCCAGAGGGUGGAGAGAAAAGCCAGGCUGAGAAUUUCUUGCCUCAUCAUCCUCGAUGUGCAGGAGCAGAGAGGGCAGAGGACAGAGGAGGGGCCGCGUGACUGCCUGGGCUGCUGAGCAAUUUACUGGAGAAGCUCAUUUGGCAACUCUGAUUCCAAGUUAAUUAAAGAUGGCCACCAGGGGUCAUUGCCAUGGUGACAAUUAGGCCAGAAAGAAGCCUCAUUAAGGUGCGGUUUUAACUAGGCCAGCGUUUUUAACCUAAGAUCUCUGGGAAAGGGAACUAGCGUGCUUCCCGUCCUUCCUCCUUGUUCAGAUCCAUUUCCAGACAGCUCUGGAUGAGCAAGGAGGCAGUGGAUGGGUCCUGGGCUGAGUCCCUCUGAGUCCCAGCAGGGCAACAGGUUUCUCUGUGACACUCAUCCUGUCUCUCCAAGGAGGCUGGUGGGCAGAGGGUGGAGGUCAUGAGGCCAGAGCAGGCAGAGAGAAAGGGGAUUUUGUUCAGAGUGGUACAGGAGUCUUUUCCCAUAAUUUGGAAAUGUGGACUUAUCACCCAAUCUGCUUCCCAAACUGAGUGGGGUGGGGGGUGCAGUGGGUGAUAACAUGCACAUGAAGGGAGCACAUGAAGCUUAUUUCUCCUGUGUUGAACUGAGAAGCAUCUUAAAGCAUGUCUCAGUUCACAGCGAUGUAAUGUGUUUGAGUCAGGCAUGGUGACACCCCACCUCGUAUCUCAGCACUGAGACAGGAAGAUAGCAACAGCUAGGCCAGCCUCAGCUACAGAGUGGGACCCCAUUUCAUGGAGGUGGACUGGGGUUGGGGAGAGGGAGCCUGCUGAGAUGGCUCAGCUGUUAACCUGCUGUUCUUACAGCAGACCUGCCUGAGCUUAGUCCCCAAACCACAUAGCAGCUGGCAAUGUCCGUAACUCCAGUUCCAGGGACCUGAGGCCGUUUCUGAUCUCUAUGGGCACCAGACAUGCUCACAGUGCAUUUACAUACAUGAAGGUGAAAUUAUCAUACCCAUAAAAUAAAAAUAAAUUAAUUUAAAAAAUCAAGGGGCCAGGCAGUGGUGGCACACGCCUUUAAUCCAAGCACUCGGGAGGCAGAGCCAGGCAGAUCUCUGUGAGUUCGAGGCUAGCCUGGUCUACAGAGCGAAAUCCAGGACAGGCACCAAAACUACACAGAGAAACCCUGUCUUGAAAAACAAAACAAACAAACAAACAAAAAAAUCAAGGGGCUGGGCUGGAGGUAUGGCUCAGUGCUUAAGAAUAACUGCUCUUCCAGAGGACCUGAGUUCAAUUCCCAGGACCCACAUGGCAGGUAGCAACUGUCUGUAACUCCAAGAUUUAACACCCUCACACAGACAUACAUGCAGACAAAACACCAAUGCACAUAAAAUAAAAACAAAUAAAUUAUUAAAACUAAAUGAAGUGGAGAGUAACCAAGAAAGACACUUGGCUUUGACCUUUGGCUUCUACAUGCAUGUGUUCAAUGUGCACUUGAAUGUGUACAUGAAUACACCCAGGAACACAUGCACAUGCAUACAGCACACACAAAGAAAUAAAAUGUAUUUUUCUUCUCUUCAUAGUAAUAUAAGUGCAUAGAUGGCAAUGAGAAGUCCCAGGAAGUCACAAAAAGAGGCUGUACCCUGCUGUACCCCACCUCAGACACAAUGUCUGUUGACAUUUUCCGUGUGAUAAGUUAAGCACAGGCUACAGGAUUCAAAGAACGGAGAAGGGGAACAUGGACCUUGGUGUCUGUGCCCUUUUCUACUGUUUGUAUUUUAUCAGAAAAAUGUCGAAUAAACGGCAGUGAAAAUACCAA